UUAGCUCAUGUUUGUAUGGAGUGGGAUUGUUUGCGUACGUUUGCCGCUAAGGGCGCUGUUCCAACUGCAUACAAAAUUGGCUUA
rnacentral:pre_miRNA from 1 species